UUUUUGGCGUAUUUCUUUCCUUGUCUUUUUUUCUUCUUCUUUUUUCAAUCAUAGUCAUUUAAUAGCAUUGAUAGACAUUACAAAUAACCAUCCCACAAUAGGAAAGUCGGAGCUAAAGGUUCAUGGUCCCACAGACUACAUGCCACAACUCCCCCAGAACACCCCACCCUCUCCACUACCCGCUUCCUUGUGUUCCUCUCCUUCUGACCAGAGUCCAGGAGUACAGGGAGGGGUGGGAGGAGAGAGGAGGAGAACACAGCAAGACAGCUGAAGAAGGGGGAACAGAGGAUGAAGUCUCUCGCUCUCAUGUUCUUCCCCUCAGAGUGACAUCUUGGGAGAGAAAGAGAGAGAUCAGGAGGAGAGGAGGAGCGAAUUGAGAAGGGGGAUAUCAGCCUUAUUGGACCGACUGCAGGGUGGGGGCACAGGGGUUGCAUAGGGGCAGAUGGAGGUACAGCUCCCCCUUGUGGACGUGGAAGAAGACAGCAGAGUCUGAUAGACCCAUAGCCAGACCUCCAGACCAGAGGACACCUUCACAUUCCCUGACCCAGCACACAACACCUCAGAGUGGCAAGAGGAGACCGGAACAGAGAGGAUGAGGACAGAUGCAUGUCACCAUCUCACCAGGCUGACUUAUAGCCACACAGGCUCGUGCUAGACCCAGGUACUAAGGACACACACAUCAUAUACCCCUUUUCCAUAUCUUGUACUGAUUUACCCCACAAGACAUGUCAUCAGAGGUCUCUUCACAGUCCCAAGUCCAGAACAGACUAUGGGAGGUGCACAGUACUACAUAGAGACAUGACUACAUGGAACUCUAUUCCACAUCAAUUAACUUAUGCAAUCAGUAACAUUUUAUUUCAAAAACAGAUAAAAAUACACCUUAUGGACCAGCGGGGACUGUGAAGCAACACAAGCACAGGCACAGACACAUGCAUACAAACACACGAUAACAAACGUACUAUACACACAUGUACACAUGGAUUUUGUGUUGUGGACAUGUGGUAGUAGAGUAUGGGACUGAGGGCACACACUUAAUAUGUUGUGAAAUCUUUCGUGAAUGUAUUGUAAUGUUUUUUUAUUUUUAUGUUAUUGGACCCCAGGGAGCCAAGGCAGCAGCUAAUGGGGCCCCAUAAUAAAUACAAAAACUGGAUUAGCUCUGAUGAUGAUAUUGACCCAUUUGUCUGUUCUAGUCUGGCCAUGUAAUGAGUAACUUCAAUUCAAUACGACUUUAUUAAUCCCAUAGGGACAAUUCGAUAGGCAUCUAGGGAGUCGGCCAGUAAGGAGUCAUCCAACUGGAGAUCCAUGGUCCUAAGAGAUACACACACUGAGACGUUAUCAACUCAACCGGGCUCUGACAAGGGCCCUUAAUAGUCCUCUCAUAUUCUCACGCCCAAACGUCUACACAACGUCCUGUAAAUCUCCCACUGUUAUUGUUUUAAUGGUACUAAUGUUAGUAUUGUCCCAGUGGUAAAAACGUCAGCUUCAAACAGCCGACUAUGUCUGGGCUCUACUGGAGUAAAGGAGAAGGGCGAGAGUAUAUAGCUUGUGAAAAUAGAUGGCCACGCUG